rnacentral:lncRNA from 1 species
UGUCUGCUCAUGGUAACUCCCUGAAAACCACUGAGGAAGUGGCUCUUCAGAUCCUCUUGCUUUGCCAGUUUGGGGUUGGAACUGUGGCCAAUGUCUUUCUGUUUGUCCAUAAUUUCUCUCCAGUCUUGACUGGUUCUAAACAGAGGCCAAGACAGGUGAUUUUAAGCCACAUGGUUGUGGCCAAUGCCUUGACUCUAUUCCUCACUAUAUUUCCAAACAACAUGAUGGCUUUUGCUCCCAAAACUCCUCCAAAUGAACUCAAAUGUAAAUUAGAAUCCUUCCGUCACCUGGUGGUAAGAAGCACAAACUUGUGUUCCACCUGUGUCCUGAGUGUCCAUCAGUUUGUCACUCUGGUUCCUCUUAAUAGAGGAAAAGGUAAACUUGUACUCAGAGCAAGUGUCACAAACAUGGCAAGUUAUUCUUCUUACAGUUGUUGGUUUUUCAGUGUCUUAAGUAACAUUCACAUUCCAAUUAAGGUCACUGGUCCACAGAUAACAGACAAUAACACUGACUGGAAAAGAAAGCUGUUCUAUUCCACUUCUGGAUUCAGUGUGGGCAUUGUCUUCUUGCAGUUUGCUUAUGAUGCCACAUUCAUGAGCAUCAUGGUCUGGACCAGUGUCUCCAUGGUACUUCUCCUCCAUAGACAUCGCCAGCGAAUGCAGCACAUCCUCACUCCCAAUCAGAACCCCAGAGGCCAAGCUUAGUCCAAAGCAACCCAUACUAUCCUAAUGCUGGUGGUCACAUUUGUUAGCUUUUAUCUUCUAAAUUGUAUUUGUAUCAUAUUACAUGCCCUUUUUAUGCAUUCUCAUUUCUUCGUAAGGCUUGUCAGUGAGAUUUUAACUGCGGUCUUCCCCAGUAUCUCUCCUUUACUGUUGAUCUUCAGAGAUCCCAAGGAUCCUUGUUCUGUGCUCUUCGACUGUUGAA